rnacentral:rRNA from 1 species
UGGGGAAUAUUGCACAAUGGGCGGAAGCCUGAUGCAGCAACGCCGCGUGCGGGAUGACGGCCUUCGGGUUGUAAACCGCUUUCGCCUGUGACGAAGCGUGAGUGACGGUAAUGGGUAAAGAAGCACCGGCUAACUACGUGCCAGCAGCCGCGGUGAUACGUAGGGUGCGAGCGUUGUCCGGAUUUAUUGGGCGUAAAGGGCUCGUAGGUGGUUGAUCGCGUCGGAAGUGUAAUCUUGGGGCUUAACCCUGAGCGUGCUUUCGAUACGGGUUGACUUGAGGAAGGUAGGGGAGAAUGGAAUUCCUGGUGGAGCGGUGGAAUGCGCAGAUAUCAGGAGGAACACCAGUGGCGAAGGCGGUUCUCUGGGCCUUUCCUGACGCUGAGGAGCGAAAGCGUGGGGAGCGAACAGGCUUAGAUACCCUGGUAGUCCACGCUGUAAACGGUGGGUACUAGGUGUGGGGGUCCAUUCCACGGGUUCCGUGCCGUAGCUAACGCUUAAGUACCCCGCCUGGGGGAGUACGGCCGCAAGGCUAAAACUCAAAUGAAUUGACGGGGUCAUAGCUGUUUCCU